UUUUGCCGGCUUUUUUUCUGGUCGGUUGACUUUUUGACUUUGGAAGAAAGAAAAUCGGAACGGAAUUGAAGAGAGAACGACCGCUCCGCCAACGCCAACAAUUUGUAUCUCAGUCUUCAAUGGCGGACACCAGAGAAUCCACCUCCACUCCGAUGAUCGAAUCCGAUCCCGACGAUGAUACUCCAAAGUCCCCUCCAACUUUUUCUAAUUCCUCCACUCGCAAGGCUUGCUAUGCUGUUCUUCAGAGUUGGGUCUCAAAGAAGUUCAUGACUGGAUGUGUGGUUCUGUUUCCUGUUGCCAUUACAUUCUUCAUCACAUGGUGGUUUAUCCAGUUUGUUGAUAGCUUCUUUAGCCCGUUAUAUGCCAGGCUUGGCAUAAACAUAUUUGGUCUAGGAUUUGUUACAUCUUUGACUUUUAUAUUUUUUGUUGGUUUAUUUGCUUCAUCGUGGAUGGGUGCCACUGUUUUCUGGCUAGGAGAAUGGUUCAUAAAAAAAAUGCCCUUUGUAAAGCACAUUUACUCAGCCUCCAAACAGAUUAGUGCAGCUAUUUCUCCAGACCAAACCACAACAGCAUUUAAGGAGGUAGCCAUUAUUCGGCAUCCAAGAAUUGGUGAAUAUGCAAUUGGUUUUAUUACCUCAUCGGUUGUCCUUCAGAUGAAUGGAUAUGAAGAGCUAUGCAGCGUUUAUGUGCCCACAAAUCAUCUAUACAUUGGCGACGUUUUUCUUAUUAAUUCAGAAGAUAUUAUAAGACCAAAUUUGUCUAUCCGAGAAGCAGUAGAGAUCAUAGUUUCAGUAGGAAUGACAAUGCCACAGGUGAUUUCUCCAGUAGAAAGAAUUGCGCAUGAAAACGAAAUGAUGUCCUUCAAUAGAAUGGCUUCGGUUAGAUGACAAUGACACGAUAUGUAUAGUCUAAACUAGUCUCACCUCGGAACUCUGCACAUACCUUAACCAGUGGCUUCUCAAGAUAAAGGCUCUCGGUUCUUCGGAACGCGUUUCCUGCUUCGAUAAAUGAUUUAUUGAUACAAAGCCUUCCCAGUGUUUCAAAGUGUACAUAGCGUAUAGCUUGGAAAGACAAAUCCAACGCCUUUUGAAUUGCUCGAAUCCGAGUUCAACAAAGGAGUUAUGACCAAAACAAAAUUGAGAAGUAAAAUCCUAUGUGGCUUGAUGAUGUGGACAAAUGGAUCAAACUAAAGUUGACACAUGGCAAACGUGCUGACGUGGCAUACGACAUGGUGGAUGAUGUGACUUCAGGGUACAUGUAUUUGCUGUUGCAACAUGGACGAAUCAUGUGACGCCAUGUGGCAAGGUGACGAGCUCCAACUGAUCGAACGAGUGGGAGGAUGACACGUGCAAAUUUAAAUUAAUUCAGAAUAAACAAUCUUCACAAUUUUUUCUCAAUCUAAAAAAUUUCUCCCAAUCACCAAAAUUGUUCUUUUUCACUUUUCCUUAGUGAGACUUUUAAUCUCCACCACCCAAAAUUUCAUCCUCGAAAUUAUAUUUAAAAGUCACCAAUUUA